GUUGAAUGAAACCGGAGGCUUCUCAAUUGCCAUGGUUUCCACCACAGGAACUGGAGAAACAGGAAAAGCCAGUCUGCAAAGAGAACAAACGCGGAGAGGGAAGAGCAGAGAUGACAGAUGGAGAAAGAAGCCUGACAAAUAACAGCUCUUUGGUGCUCAUUUCCUGAAGAAGAUUACUUUUCAGUAUCAGACUUCGCCAACAAGACUUUUCCCAGCCAAGGACUGCACAUUUACAUCAUAGUUAAACUGGGUGACUUUCCAGGUCAUGUGGUGUGCACCUGCAAUACGUUGACAAGGCUUUAGAUUACAACAGGAAUGGUUAUAUCAGGUUCCAGGAUGGUCUUGGGUUUUAAUCCCAGAACCUCUGAAAACCGUGGUGUAAGAACCUUAUCCAAUGCAGACGAGCUACAUGGAAGAAGGCCAAGACACUAUGGCCAACAGCCCCAGCUGAGUUCCCUUCUGGGAGCAUCAACUGGCCACCGUGUGAGUGAACCAAGCUGGAUGUGCUGGCACCGUUGUGCUUCCAGAUGACACAGCCCUUGCUGACCUCACAUGGAGCAGA